rnacentral:rRNA from 1 species
CCUACGGGUGGCAGCAGUGGGGAAUAUUGGACAAUGGGGGGAACCCUGAUCCAGCGACGCCGCGUGAGUGAAGAAGUAUCUCGGGAUGUAAAGCUCUAUCAGCAGGGAAGAAAAUGACGGUACCUGACUAAGAAGCCCCGGCGAACUACGUGCCAGCAGCCGCGGGAAUACGUAGGGCGCAAGCGUUAUCCGGAUUUACUGGGUGUUAAGGGAGCGUAGACGGCAGCACAAGUCUGGAGUGAAAUGCCGGGGCUUAAACCCGGAACUGCUUUGGAAACUGUGCAGCUAGAGUGCAGGAGAGGUAAGUGGAAUUCCUAGUGUAGCGGUGAAAUGCGUAGAUAUUAGGAGGAACACCAGUGGCGAAGGCAGCUUACUGGACUGUAACUGACGUUGAGGCUCGAAAGCGUGGGGAGCAAACAGGAUUAGAUACCCUAGUAGUC